rnacentral:rRNA from 1 species
AUUGAACGCUGGCGGCAUGCCUUACACAUGCAAGUCGAACGGCAGCGGGGGAGAAGCUUGCUUUUCCUGCCGGCGAGUGGCGAACGGGUGAGUAAUACAUCGGAACGUGCCCUGUAGUGGGGGAUAACUAGUCGAAAGAUUAGCUAAUACCGCAUACGACCUGAGGGUGAAAGUGGGGGACCGCAAGGCCUCAUGCUAUAGGAGCGGCCGAUGUCUGAUUAGCUAGUUGGUGGGGUAAAGGCCUACCAAGGCGACGAUCAGUAGCUGGUCUGAGAGGACGACCAGCCACACUGGGACUGAGAGACGGCCCAGACUCCUACGGGAGGCAGCAGUGGGGAAUUUUGGACAAUGGGCGAAAGCCUGAUCCAGCAAUGCCGCGUGUGUGAAGAAGGCCUUCGGGUUGUAAAGCACUUUUGUCCGGAAAGAAAUGGCUCUGGUUAAUACCUGGGGUCGAUGACGGUACCGGAAGAAUAAGGACCGGCUAACUACGUGCCAGCCGCCGCGGUAACAC